UGCAUUGGGAGCUUCACAGACUGUGUCCACCAUGGCCUGGACCCCUCUCCUCCUUGUGCUCCUCUCUUACUGCACAGGUUCCCUCUCCCAGCCUGUGCUGACCCAGCCACCCUCCCUCUCUGCAUCCCUGGGAACAUCUGUGAGACUCACCUGCACCCUCAGCAGUGGCUUCAGUGUUGGCAGCUAUACCAUAUCCUGGUACCAGCAGAAGCCAGGGAGCCCUCCUCAGUAUCUCCUGUACUACUACUCAGACUCAAGCAAGCACCAGGGCUCCAGGGUCCCCAGCCACUUCUCUGGCUCCAAGGAUGGUUUGGCCAAGGCAGGCCUUCUGCUCAUCUCUGGUCUGCAGCCUGAGGACGAGGCUGAAUAUUACUGUGCUAUUGCUGAUGGCAGUGGGAGCAGCUACAGUUCCUCACGAAAUUUUCUGAAUGCAUCCUCUGUGGCCUCCUUUGAGCUGACCCAGCCACGCUCAGUGUCAGUGGCCCUGGGACAGAUGGCCAGGCUCACCUGCUCUGGAGGAAAAUUCGAGAAAAAAUAUGUUCACUGGUACCAGCAGAAGACAGAUCAGGCCCCUGAGCUGGUCAUCUAUAAGGAUAGUGAACGGCCCUCAGGGAUCCCUGACCGAUUCUCUGGCUCCAGCUCUGGGAGCACAGCCACCCUGACCAUCAGCAGGGUCCAGAAUGAGGAUGAGGCUGACUAUUACUCCCCAGGAGGACUGAGGACAAGCAGUGUGCAGGCCUAG